rnacentral:rRNA from 1 species
GACGAACGCUGGCGGCGUGCCUAAUACAUGCAAGUAGGACGCAGUUGCGAACGGGUGAGUAACGCGUAGGUAACUGACUAUUAGAGGGUGAUAACUACUGGAAAUGAUCGCUAAUACCGCAUACUAGUAGAUGGACCUGCGUUGUAUUGGCUAGUAGGAAGGGUAAUGGCCUAACUAGGCGACGAUACAUAGCCGACCUUGAGGGGUGGUCGGCCAAACUGGGACUGGGACACGGCCCAGACUCCUACGGGAGGGAGCCGUAGGGAAUCUUCGGCAAUGGGGGGAAACCUGACCGAGCAACGCCGCGUGAGUGAAGAAAGGUUUCGGAUCGGGAAGCUCUGUUGUUAAGGGAGCGGUACUUAACCAGAAAGGGACGGCUAACUACGUGCCAGCAGCCGCGGUAAUAC